GGCCUAACACAUGCAAGUCGAACGGCAGCGGGGGAUAGCUUGCUAUCCUGCCGGCGAGUGGCGGACGGGUGAGUAAUGCAUGGAGAGCUGCCCAGUCGAGGGGGAUAACAACUGGAAACGGUUGCUAAUACCGCAUACGCCCUAAGGGGGAAAGGUGGGGAACUUCGGUCCUACCGCGAUUGGAUGCGCCCAUGUGGGAUUAGCUAGUUGGUGAGGUAACGGCUCACCAAGGCGACGAUCUCUAGCUGGUCUGAGAGGAUGACCAGCCACACUGGAACUGAGACACGGUCCAGACUCCUACGGGAGGCAGCAGUGGGGAAUAUUGCACAAUGGGGGAAACCCUGAUGCAGCCAUGCCGCGUGUGUGAAGAAGGCCUUCGGGUUGUAAAGCACUUUCAGCGAGGAGGAAAGGUCAGUAGCUAAUAUCUGCUGGCUGUGACGUUACUCGCAGAAGAAGCACCGGCUAACUCCGUGCCAGCAGCCGCGGUAAUACGGAGGGUGCAAGCGUUAAUCGGAAUUACUGGGCGUAAAGCGCACGCAGGCGGUUGGAUAAGUUAGAUGUGAAAGCCCCGGGCUCAACCUGGGAAUUGCAUUUAAAACUGUCCAGCUAGAGUCUUGUAGAGGGGGGUAGAAUUCCAGGUGUAGCGGUGAAAUGCGUAGAGAUCUGGAGGAAUACCGGUGGC
rnacentral:rRNA from 1 species